GAUUUCCUCCCGGCCCCCGCCCUCCCGCCGCCCUUUGCAGGACAUGCAACAGGGGUGUGGCUCGUGUGUUCGGUCUCGGCCCUGCUGAAACCCCUUAUGGGAGGUGGAGCAUGCGGACGGACGGGUGCAGGAGCCAGGGUGCAAAAGCUGGGGCGCUGGGCUUCCAGCCCCACGGCAGUGUCCAGGGGCAGGAUCCCGUGAUUCCCGGAGCCCAAAUGGGCGUGUGUUACAGUGUGUUCUUUUAGCCUUACCAUCAGCUGACGGCUUAAGUGUUAACCAGCUCAAUAGACCCUCUGCCUUUUUGCAAGCGCAGAGGGUCAGUGUGACAGUUUCUGUAUCUCAGCUCUUGUCUCACCUCCCAGAAGAAUCAGGUCACACAUGGACUUGAAGGAUGAAAACCAGAGACUGGGUAAUUAAUAAAAAGAAGAAAUUGAUCUGGCCUACAGUUCUGGAGCCUUGGAAGUCCGAGAUCAAGGGGCUGCAUCUGAUAAAUACCUGGAGUGGGAUUGCUAGAUCACAUGGAAAACACAGAUCCUGGUGCCGAACAUGAGGACAGGACAGGCUGAAGGAGAAAGUG
rnacentral:antisense_RNA from 1 species